AGAGUUUGAUCAUGGCUCAGAUUGAACGCUGGCGGCAUGCCUUACACAUGCAAGUCGAACGCGAAAGGGGGCAACCCUGAGUAGAGUGGCGAACGGGUGAGCAAUACAUCGGAACACGUCCUGUAGCGGGGGACAACCUCGAGAAAUCGAGGCUAAUACCGCAUACGAUCUAAGGAUGAAAGUGGGGGACCGCAAGGCCCCACACUAUAGGAGUGGCCGAUGCCGGAUUAGCUUGUUGGCGGGGUAAAAGCCCACCAAGGCGACGAUCCGUAGCUGGUUUGAGAGAACGACCAGCCACACUGGGACUGAGACACGGCCCAGACUCCUACGGGAGGCAGCAGUGGGGAAUUUUGGACAAUGGGCGCAAGCCUGAUCCAGCCAUGCCGCGUGAGUGAAGAAGGCCUUCGGGUUGUAAAGCUCUUUCGGCCGGGACGAAAUGGCGCGGGGUAACAUCCCGCGUCGAUGACGGUACCGGAAGAAGAAGGACCGGCUAACUACGUGCCAGCAGCCGCGGUAAUACGUAGGGUCCAAGCGUUAAUCGGAAUUACUGGGCGUAAAGCGUGUGCAGGUGGUUUCGAAAGUCCGAUGUGAAAUCCCCGGGCUUAACCUGGGAACUGCGUUGGAAACUACGAAGCUAGAGUGCGGCAGAGGGGGGUGGAAUUCCAGGUGUAGCAGUGAAAUGCGUAGAUAUCUGGAGGAACACCGAUGGCGAAGGCAGCCCCCUGGGCUAGCACUGACGCUCAUACACGAAAGCGUGGGGAGCAAACAGGAUUAGAUACCCCGGUAGUCC
rnacentral:rRNA from 1 species